rnacentral:rRNA from 1 species
UACAGAGACUGCAAGCGUUAUUCGGAUUCACUGGGCGUAAAGGGUGCGCAGGCGGCCAAGUGUGUUAGGCGUGAAAGCCCGGGGCUUAACCCCGGAAUUGCACCUAAAACUACAUGGCUAGAGCAUUGGAGAGGGUAGCGGAAUUCACGGUGUAGCAGUGAAAUGCGUAGAUAUCAUGAGGAAUACCAGAGGCGAAGGCGGCUACCUGGACAAUUGCUGACGCUCAGGCACGAAAGCGUGAGGAGCAAAAGGG